UCGCAUACAAAAACCACAUUCCCAUCACCUUAGAUUGAGGCAGACCCUAUACUCAAAUGUAACACCAGCUUUUCACAACACCAAUGCAGCAGUCUCAGUUUACCAAAAGUGUGUAAUUCUUGGAAAAUGGCAUAAACUUUUGGACUUAAAACCAAAAGAUUUCUGGAGAGAAAUGUACACUAUACAUAAAGGAAAGAUGCUAUAAAUUUCUGGACUUAAAAUAAGGAAUAUCUGGUAUGAAAACCAUACAGAAAUCAAAAAUUCCAUUCACCUUAAGAACCAGAUAGAACUAAAAAAUGAAGAACAUAAAGCAUUACGAAUGACAAAGAAAUGUUCACCAAAAUUAAAUUAAUUCUUUUUAACUACAUAAUAUAAAUUUUACAGUUUUAAGCUCAAGAAGCGAAACUGUAUUCGCAAAAAUAUCUCAGUUUGACACACCUACAUUAUUACCAAUUCUUACCCCAUGAAGAAUAAAAACAUCAGAAAAUAAAACUUACUGGUUGUGCCUAAUUCUAUAAACAAUACCAGCAAUCGACUAGAUGUUAAUGGCACAUUCUUUUUUCGCCUCCAAGUGGAGAUUCAAGUAGGCUUGUAGAAAAAUGCAAGAUUUAUCAAUUAAAAUACCUGACAAUCAAUAAAUAUUUUGCGCUUUCACAGCUGGAAAAUUCGUCAUCGAUCUCCUAAAUAAAAGUCUAAUUAGACUAUUGAAUCAAGUGAAAUACUUCCAUGUGAGGGGGGAAGAACCAAUGUAUUCUUCAAAUUGGAGGUGGGAGUACUUUGUUGAGGCAGAAGUUUCUACGGUGAAAAAGAUUGGGGAAAAAUUGGAGGGAGUGUGAAAUUAAUUAGCCCCUAUUAUCUUUGGGUUGCAAAAUUAUGCAAAUUAUUGAGGUUACUUAUAUCUUCCGCAAAUAAACCUCCAGAAUUUACAUGUUUGCGAAGGUUACUUAUACUGUUACAACCCC
rnacentral:lncRNA from 1 species